AAACAACGCCAGCUCUGAUCAACUGUAUGAUGAUGACUUUGUAGCAGUGAAGGAUGCUGUUAAUGAGCUUGUUGGUUGCACAGUAGAUUGUCCUUACAAUGUGACAACUACACCCAUAGUGGAUAAAACUAAGGUGGAUGUGGGAUCUGUAUGUAAAAGGUCG